CCUUUUCUUUCUACAUUGAUUUUGUAGAUGUGUUUGCCUGAAAAUUUGGUGGUCAUGUUCCUGCACUUAUGCUUUCAAUAUGAAUGUACACGUAAUAAAUUUUGUUAAAGCAUACCCCCACUUACCAUGUAGUGAAGAGAAUCUUACGUGUCUGGGGCCCAUACAUUAGCCACCCCUCCCAUCCGAAAAGCAGAGGGCGAAACUUAUAAUCUUUGAUGAACAUGUGAACAUCGAAAAUUGUCCUAGAUCCAAAAUUGUACUCCUAGAGUAUAAGCUGUUGUCAGGUCAGCUGUUGGUGUUUAGGUUCCAAUGGCUUAAAAAUCACAAACCAUUAGAUGUUCCUGGUCCUCCAAGUAAAAAGGACAUUUUCCCUUUUGAAUGUGAUUUAUUUUUCCUUAUUCCUUUCAUAGUGUCACUUGGUAGGUAUCCAAAUCAAGUAAUUAGGAUCACCCAAUCAGUGUGGCUUUUGUGCUAUGCAGGCUCCAUAGCACAGACCACCUAAUGGAUGGUUCAAAUCAAUUCCAUGUGUGACAUAUGUACUAUUUGGAUCAAUGAUACUCGAACAAAAGUAUAUGACGUUGACCAUUUUGCUGUAUUGACCUUCUCUUCUAAAAACACACUUGCGGCCUACUCCAUAUUGCCAAUAAUCUAUUCCUUUCUCAGCUGACCAUUCCUCUCUGUAAUUAGGAAAAAAUUGGGAUUAGGGCUUCCUCUCCCCUCUUUAUUUAUAUUAAUAACAUAUUUUGGAAAAGCUAUGGUAGUCUGCAAGACCACCCAAUACAGUAUACCCUCACUGUAACACUCUCCUUCCCUUAACUGGUCCAUGUAAUUGCUUCAUGCACCUUGAGGAUAAGGGUUGAUGGAGUUGGUGCCAACAUUAUAAAAAAUUAUGUUAAGCCCAGUCAAAAUUUAUGGGACUAGUCCGAGUCACAGGUUCAACUUGUGCGAGACUUGCCUCAUUAGUCAACUGAGUUGAGUCUCUUGGUUAUUGAUCAAUGCUAAGUCCCUUCAUAUACAAACUAAGCCCUCUAUGUCUACUUAAAAACAAUCUUUCUAUUUUCUUGACUGAGAUUAAUCAAAGGGAGACUUAUGUUUCAUUAAUCAGAGGAAAGAGAGAACUCAAAAUGCUUCUGUUUCAUUCACUGAGAUGACAUAAUACAAACUGUAUAUACAAAAUAUCUGCCUGACAGAAAACUCAAAUGAACUGCACCAAUGACAAUAAUGUCAAGUUUGUGCCUAAAACCUCUUAAGUUCACGUGGUGUGGGCCACCUGAGUUUUGGGUCAGUCUGAUUUUUAUAUAUUUCCUUCAUCCUGGUGAAUCACAACUGAUGAACAUGUUUGAUGAAAGCUACACACCAUGGUGGUCCCACAAACAAACCUAUGGUUCUCAUCCACCCCGUUGUUCCUUGUGGUGUGGCUUACCUGAGCUGAGGAUUUUGCUGAUUUUUGGCUCCAGGGUCUAGCAUUGAGGAUCGAUCACACCUGAUGGACGGAGUGGAUAUCAAACAGACAACAUGGUGGCCCCGCAGAGCUUGGGUGUUUUUCCGCGCUGGUAAAACAGAUGUUUUAGAGGAUUCUGAUCCGGGACCACUGGCCGUCUCCAGCAAAAUGUAAAGGUGUUUUGAUCGGGUCCGAGUGGGCGAAGAUGCUAGGUUUCCAUGCUUGAAGAUAUCCCCGCAUCUUGAUACGCACCUCCAAUGGUCUAAGAAGUCCCGAAGUACCAACUGCAAUGAAUCUGCUCUGAAGUAAAAUCAGGUCCAUAAUUGCUGGUCCAUAUGUCAAGUAGGCCCCAUCAUGAGCCUGUUGUGUCCAAAAAACAGGUUUAUCCAUUCAUCUGGUGGGCUGCGCCUAUGCAGAAAAUGUUUAGCUGGUUUGAAAGAUAUGCAAACAGAGUCCGCAUUCAACCUAUGGAUGACCCAAGCAUCCAAACUUUUGGUUUAGGAAAGGUACAUGACUAGGCCCAACCAAUGGGAUUGAGCUCACGUUGAAAAGGAAAAGGUGAGUUACUGAGUAUACCUGUAGACCACAGACCAGAGAAGAUUAGCAAUACACUCGAGUUUUCUAUUAUACAAAUGGGGCCUAUGUUUCACUGAUCCAAAGAGUUGGUCUAUUGGACCCCACCAUGUAUGAAAUAUGCCCAAAAGCUUCCUCAGUUGGCUGGCCCCAACCUUACAAUGUCCGGUUCAUAUGCAGCUCCUAAGAAAUUGUCUACAUGGUGUAGAUUAAAUCAAAUUAAGCCAUCGAAAUUUUGGGACCCA